GGUUCGCUGGUGUAGUUGGUUAUCACAUAUGCUUUACACGCAUAAGGUCGCCGGAUCGAGCCCGGUGCGAAUCA